rnacentral:rRNA from 1 species
UACAGAGGGUGCGAGCGUUAUUCGGAAUUACUGGGCGUAAAGCGCUCGUAGGCGGCUACGUAAGUCGGGUGUGAAAGCCCCGGGCUCAACCUGGGAAUUGCAUUCGAGACUGCAUUGCUUGAGUACGGAAGAGGAAGGCGGAAUUCCCGGUGUAGCGGUGAAAUGCGUAGAUAUCGGGAGGAACAUCAGUGGCGAAGGCGGCCUUCUGGGCCAGUACUGACACUCAAGUGCGAAAGCGUGGGGAGCAAACAGG